rnacentral:tRNA from 22 species
GUGGGUGUAGCUCAGUUGGUAGAGCCCCGGAUUGUGAUUCCGGUUGUCGUGGGUUCAAGUCCCAUCAUCCACCCCA